UAAAAACAGAGGGACUUUAAUGCAGGGAAUUUGUUAAACAGGUAAUAGUCAGUCGCCCAGCCUAGAAGUUAAACAGAGGACAGUGAGACAAUUCAAAGUAACAGCAGCAGGAAGCACUGUCACCCCCAGGCUGCAGGGUCACCCAGCAAGAGCUGGAACCACAGUGGGCUUGUCGGGGCAGCAUCUAUAGGAAUGGAAAACACACAGCAACUGUCCGAGAUUCUCUUAAAGCAGAGGCAGAGUGAGAAAGAGCCCAGCACCCAAUUUCCUGCCAAUGCUCCCCAGUGGCCAAACAAAAUAAAAAACCAGAUGAUAGAGAAACCUGAGAAAUGCAGCCCUGCAGAGCACAAGAAAGGUGAAGGAGAAUGGGCUGAGCACAGAUACACAAGGCAAGAAGGGGUGGAAGGUCUCCUAGAUUUUCUGGGGUCUGUGGGCAGGGCUGGGACACUAAGAAGAAGGUUCUUUCAGAAGCAGCCUCUGAGCCAGGGAUUUGUAUGCAAAUGAUUUUUUUUUUUUUUUUUUUGAAGACAGGGUCUUACUCUGUUGCCCAGGCUGGAGUGCAGUGGCACGACCUUGGCUCACUGCACCCUCCACUUCUUGAGUUCAAGCGAUUCUUGUGCCUCAGCUUCCCAAGUAGCUGGAAUUACAGGUGUGCACCACCAUGUCUGGCUUUUAAAAAUUUUUUUAUUUUUUAAUUUUUUUUAUUUUUAGUAGAGACAGGAUUUCCCCAUCUUGGCUAGACUGGUCUCAGACUCCUGACCUCAAGCGAUCUGCCCACCUGGGCCUCCCAAAGUGCUGGGAUUACAGGUGUGAGCCAUCAUGCCCAGCGUGCAUGCAAAUGACUUAUAAAGAAAGUGUCCCAAGGAGAGCUCAGUGAGAGAGUCAGGGGAAGCAGUGUUGGAAAGGGAAGAAGCCAAUGGAAGGAGAGAUUUCAGGGGAAGACUGAACAUCGUUUGAUCCGGUGGAGAGGUCUGAGGAUAUGAGAAGAUGACAGUCUGCAACCCAGAAGAGAACCCUCACAGAACCUGACCAUGCCGGCACCCUGAUCUCAGGUUUCCAGCCUCCAGAACUGUGAGAAGUAAGUUUCUAUUGUUUAUAAGUCACUCAGUCUCUGGUACUUUGCAACAGCAGCCUAAAUGGACUAAGACAAAUGGGGAUAGGUGUUGCCUGUGUGAUCAGGUUCCCAUUCUGUCCUCUCUCUCUCCUCAACUUGCUUGCCCUGAUGCAGCUGGCUUCCAUGUGUAAAGUGCUCUAUGGAGAGGCCUGUGUGGCAAGGAACUGGGAGUAGCCUCCAGAUGACAGCCAGUAAGGAACUGAGACCCUCAGUCCACCAACCCAUGAGGAACCCAUGCAAUGACCACAUGAGUCAAACUUUGAGAUGACUGCAGACCGAGCCAGCCCCUUGAUAAGAGCUUUGUGAGAGGAUCAGAGCCAAAGGACCAGAAUAUUUUUCUGGGAAACCUUUGAAGAUGUAUCAUUUUUGAAGAAGAUAUCUCUGAAGAUUAAUGAUCAACUUUUACUCCUACUUCCCAAGGUAUCUGGUGCUGUCUGUAUCUGAGCCUUUGGGCAUUGGAUAAUGUAAAUUGACUAGUUUCUCAGCUAUUCAGCUUCCUUGAUUGUGAAAAAGGUUGCUAUGUCACUAUGUGCGGCUCCACUGUUGUAAAGGGAAAGAUAAAAGUCUUUAGUGAUUCUCCCAGCAUAGAAUACCAACAACAUAAAGGAUGUGACCUCUGUUAGUAAGAACUGGACCAGAAGAGAAUUGUGAUUGCUCAAGAGCCAUCAAAUAGGGCAAGAAAAAUGGCAAACAGAGUUCUCACAUGGCAGAGCUUGAAGAAAACAGCAGAAAACCAAGGGAAGGACUUUGGGGUCUGGCUUUGCCCUCAGGGUACUGAAGACCACUGAAUACAUGCAGUUCAACCGAAUU
rnacentral:lncRNA from 10 species